CUUCUCAGCAAUAUGGCGCAUAAUGGAAUGAACAGCCUUAGAUUUGUUGAAGCGUUCUUCGCACUUUACAACAUCCUCAGGGCUAACACGGCGCUUUGAAAGAUCGAUGUAUCCUUAAUCCUGGUUAGUACAUUCCUAACAACUUAUAAACCUUUUUUCCCCUUUUGUUUUUCUUUUUUUUAAAAAAAAAAAAAAAAAAAACUACUAAUAAAUUCUUACCUUUUUCCUUGUCGACACGUAAGACCACGACGACUUCAUUACGACCAACGCGAAUAUGCUUUUGUACUGAACGAAUACGACGUCUGGAAAGCUCAGAGAGCAAAACCAUUCCUUCAAUAUUAUCGUAUUCCAACAAUUUUACAUAAGCGCCCAUCUCCUGGAUUUGACGAACUAUUGGAAAUAUUAGCCAUUACCGUUUCUUUAGACAGACAACAUGUGCAUUUUUUACAUACCGUUGACAACAACGAGUUCAUCCACUUCCGGGAAGCGAUUCUCGUACAUUCUGCAGCUUGUCGUCGACAUUUUUGCAAAGUGUUGAGUGUUUGGUUCUGAGUAAAAAUUUGUGUGGACUACCCACUUCUAAACUCUAGGGGCCAAUUUUGCUUCUUUUCAGAACCCAGACAUUGGUC